UAUUAUUCAAUAUGUAAAAUUAGUGCUCGGGUAGUAAUAGUUAUGUUCUUGAAACCCAAAGAAUUUGGCGGUAUUUUAGUCUUUUUAGAGGAAUCUGUUCUGUAAUUGAUAAUACACGAUUAUUUUUACUUUAUUUUAUGAUUUGUAUAUCGCCGUCGUAAGAAUAUCUUGUUGAGAGUAUAAACUUUCUGGAUGUUAAAUUAAAAAUUAUGUCAGGUCAUGGUGCAGUUUAUAAUAAAGAAGAAAUGGAUUACAAUAAAGAUAUUUAUAUGGAUAGUUGAUUUAAACGUUAAUUUGAAGGUGGAUUUAAUUGUAAAUUUAUAUUUAAUUGAUAUUUUGAUUUUAGCUCUAAAAUGUGUACACAUUGCCCGUCGCUCUCAUUUUAAGAUGAG
rnacentral:rRNA from 1 species